UUUUCUUCUUGUUUUCCUUCUUCGGCCGAGCAUCCAAAAUUUCGAAAAAAAAAAAUUUGUUGUCGAGUUGUUCAACAAAUCAAUACCCCUAUUCCAUUCCUCCCACUCUCUGGAGCUUGGGAAAGUAACAACUUUACAUUAUACCAAACGGGCCCUAGGUGGUGAAGCUUCCUCCCAGGGGAAGGAAAUUGCCGACCUGUGAGAGCGUCUCAAGAUGAGACGACGUGUUCAGUUGCGACGUUGGACUGGGUUGUGCUAGGCAGGCAGUGGGGUGACUUACUAUUUUUCACAUUGUUUAGGUUAGUGCAGUGUGCAUGUAAAUUUUAUGGAUGCACUAGACUCACUUUUUGUAUAUUUGUAUUUUCUGGUUGUAUUUGGAACCUGGCUGGUUCUGUAGUGGAGGUUGUUUCCCUCUUCAGUUCAUUGUGGUAGCGGGUUUGUUUUGAGCCUUACGAUGAGUAGGAGGUAGGAUGCGGCAGGGUCCACUCCUUGUUGUCGUAGCGGUUGUCACGUGCCCGUCUAGGGUCGGGGCGUGACACACACUCUACCAAAUUUUUUUUCUACAACAUUACAAAUGUAACACAUCAUAUAUGAAAUUAAAAAAAUAAACAAAA